rnacentral:tRNA from 1 species
AACUUAGGAUAAUAAAAACCAAGAACCUUCAAAGUUCAAAAUAAGGGUGUAAACCC